rnacentral:rRNA from 1 species
GUAAAGCACUUUCAGUGGGGAGGAAAGGUCGAAGGUUAAUACCCUUUGGCUGUGACGUUACCCACAGAAGAAGCACCGGCUAACUCCGUGCCAGCAGCCGCGGUAAUACGGAGGGUGCGAGCGUUAAUCGGAAUUACUGGGCGUAAAGCGUGCGUAGGCGGCCAUUUAAGUUGGAUGUGAAAGCCCCGGGCUCAACCUGGGAACUGCAUCCAAAACUGGGUGGCUUGAGUGCGAGAGAGGAGUGUGGAAUUUCCUGUGUAGCGGUGAAAUGCGUAGAUAUAGGAAGGAACACCAGUGGCGAAGGCGACACUCUGGCUUGACACUGACGCUGAGGUACGAAAGCGUGGGGAGCAAACAGGAUUAGAUACCCUGGUAGUCCACGCCGUAAACGAUGUCUACUAGUUGUCGGUGGUCUUGUACUGCUGGUAACGCAGCUAACGCGAUAAGUAGACCGCCUGGGGAGU